rnacentral:rRNA from 1 species
UGGGGAAUAUUGCACAAUGGAGGGAACUCUGAUGCAGCGACGCCGCGUGAACGAAGAAGGCUUUCGAGUCGUAAAGUUCUUUUAUAUGGGAAGAUAAUGACGGUACCAUAAGAAGAAGCCCCGGCUAACUACGUGCCAGCAGCCGCGGUAAUACGUAGGGGGCUAGCGUUGUCCGGAAUCACUGGGCGUAAAGGGUUCGCAGGCGGAAAUGCAAGUCAGGUGUAAAAGGCAGUAGCUUAACUACUGUAAGCAUUUGAAACUGCAUAUCUUGAGAAGAGUAGAGGUAAGUGGAAUUUUUAGUGUAGCGGUGAAAUGCGUAGAUAUUAAAAAGAAUACCGGUGGCGAAGGCGACUUACUGGGUUCAUUCUGACGCUGAGGAACGAAAGCGUGGGUAGCAAACAGG